CCGCAGCUCAGCUUCCCUGCGGGUAUCUGCCGCCGGUUCACACUGUUUCUUUACGGAAGCAGCUCCUUUGUCUCGGGAUCAGGGGGGAUCCAGGGUUUCUCUGAAUCUCCCAGCUUUGCCUAGCCCCUGUCUGAGAAGAGCUGGACCGGGAUGAAACCACAGUGAGACAGAGGGGGGUGGAGGUAGAGAAGGCUCCGGUUUUCUCCGCUGCUUAAUUAGCAUGAGAAUAGAAAGACUUCUCCCUAGCCUCCCUUAGGGAUGGAGAGGAAAGAAGAGCAAAGGCUCUGGCUCUGUCCUACUUCGUCAGAGAUUCUGGGGCUGGGAAAAUGAUCACCACCAUGUUCCUCCAAUCCUCUGAGGACCCAGGGACCCACGGUACUGAGAAAAGCUUUGAUGGAGCCGGCUGGUGGAUCUCCACUCCAGAUUUUCCAGCUGUCCCUGUCCCCCCCCACCGCUCAGAGAGCAGGAUGCUGAGAUGGCUCGGUGAUGCAGAAGGUCUCUCUAAAGUGCCAAAGUUAUAAAAUUCCACUGGAAGUAAAUUCGCAGACUUUCCAAGAAUCAGUCACCCCCUGCAGCACAGGCAGAGACGGAGGGGUUGCGGGGGGGCAACUCUUUCCCUGGGAAGGAGUCCUCAUGUCCUGUGCUGCCCCUUGCAUCCCAACAAGCUGCUUCCUGGCUCUGCGCAGGUCAAGGUCCAGGGACUUCUCUUCAUUGUCAUCCUGGGGAUUCCUUGAAUGAAUUUGUUCCUUCCUUACAAUUACAUGUAAAUAAUGAUCAGCUGGGCAAAGAAUACUAGGCUGAAAAUUGUUUUCCUUCCAUGGUUAACAUUGCCCCCCUGGCUUCCAGCUUCCAGUGCUGCCCUCAAGAAGGCCAUGCAUUCUUAUCCUUAAUCCUUGGAUGGAAUCUAAUUUUUCUCUGGAAGCUUUAAGACUUGCUUUCUCCUUGGUGAUUUAAAAAUGAUGUAUUUGGAAGUUCCCUUCAUGGCUUAGCAGUUAAUGAACCCAACUAGGAUCCAUGAGGAUGUGGGUUCAAUCCCUGGCCUUGCUUGGUAGGCUAAGGAUCUUGCAUUGCUGUGGCUAUGGUUGCGGCUGGCAGCUGUAGCUCCAAUUCGACCCCUAGCCUGGGAACUUCCAUAUGCCGUGGGUGCGGCCCUAAAAAGCAAACAAAACAAAACAAAACAAAACAAAACAAAACAAAACAAAACAAACGUGUUUCACUGUAGUAUAUGGAAUGACUGGCCAAUGGGGACCUGCUUUAUAGCACAAGGAACUCUAUCCAAUAUUCUGCGAUAAUCUACAUGGGCAAAGAAUCUGAAAGAGAAUGGAUGUGUGUACAUGUAUAACUGAAUCACCUUGUUGCACAGCAGAAAUUAUCACUACAUUGUAAAUCAACCAUACUUCAAUAAAACUUUAAAGAAUGAAAAAAAUUGACA
rnacentral:lncRNA from 1 species